AUGAAAAGAGUAUGUCAAGAUAGCCAAGGAGACUGCCUGAAACCUAACCCGCAAGAUUCAACUUGAUUUUCGAAUUAUUACACCUUUUAGAUGCAUAAUAAUCCAAAACCCAUGAAAUUCAAAUUGAAUCAUGGAGGUGAAAAAGAUCAGGCAAGUCAUCCUUGGCUAUUAAACAUGACUCUUUUCG
rfam:Arabidopsis lyrata subsp. lyrata unplaced genomic scaffold ARALYscaffold_5, whole genome shotgun sequence.